rnacentral:lncRNA from 1 species
UGCUUUCAGAGAAAUGCUAGUAAAUGAUACUCAGGAAUCUCAUGAAUAAAUAGGGUGGAUAGGACUGGUAAACCAUUUUUUGACUGGUUGAUACUGCAAAUGGUUUCUGCUUUUCGCCCUUGUGACCAUUGCUCACUUGUUUAAUUUCAACUUUCAUUCUUUCCAGCACUCUUAUACCCAGCCCAUCCCUCUGUACCUUUGAUGACUCUGUCUCUCCAGGAAUUAUCCCUCCUAGCACAGUCCUGGUUUCUCUGCUCUCUGAACCACCACUCCUGACUCCACGGAUCCACCUCUUCCCAUUUGUUGCUCUUAAUGUCCCCCUUGUGUUUUUUCUUUGCCCUGCAGAACGUGCAGAAUGGUUCCCUGUGCACAGCACAGCCAAUCCCUGGAAGGCUGGAGCUGAGCCUGCUUGGAGCACACCAGGAUGGGGUGAUGCAGCAAAGUGAGCACUGCCUCCUGUCCUCAGCAGGACAAUUUGCCUUGCCCCUCUCAGGAAGAGAAAGCUUGCAGAGGAGUGUCUGCAGGUUUUCUGCUUUAACACUUCUCUCACCUGGAAGUGAAACAUUUAUCAGCGGGCAAAAACAGCAACAGGCUUCAAGUAACCUGCUCACCAGUAAGGCAAGAUUCACAAUCUGUUCCCAGCAACCCGCAGUUAUGGUGCUGUGUCAUGAGUAUGGAAGGCAAAAUCUUCCCCCUGCAAACUCAGCUACACGCCAGCUUCCCUGCAUGGAUCAUUCACACCAUUGUCUUGCUGAGAUUUCAAAAUUUUGUGUGUGCAUCAGUAAGUAG